GUGUGGUGGCACGCACCUGUAGUUCCAGCUCCUCGGGAGGCUGAAGCGGGAGGCUCGCUUGAGCCUGGGAGGUCAAGGCUGCAGUGAGUAUGAUUGUGUCACUUGCACUCCAGCCUGGGCGACAGAGCAAGACCCUGCUACCCACCUCCCCCAGAAAACCAAGAAAGACCAACGUGGAGAGUUGGUCGCCCAUCUGCUCCAAGCUGCUGUGUAUUCCCUGUAAUGUAAACAUCGUGAAGAUGGAGACCCAGUUAACCUUUUAGGUGGAGGGCCAGAUGAUAGAGGGCGACAUCUGACCCGGAAGGCAUUCUGCAACCAGGCCUAACACAUCUACAGGGAACCAGUGGGAAACAUCUGGGGAGGACAACCCAAAUAAGUAUCUUGCGAGCAAGGGAUGGUUUGAGAACUUUAAAAAUCACUGCUGUUUUGCAACAUAUGAAGUUGAUGGGGGAGGAAGGACCCUUACAUGCUGAAUGGGCACUGAGUAUUCCAAGCAACUGGAGAGAGGUUGUGUGCCUCAACAGGUUUUCAAUGCCAAAGAGAUGACCCAUCUUUCGAAGUGCAUGCCUUCCUACUUUUGGGGCAAAAAACCAAAAAUCUGGAAAGCUUAGAGGAAGCUAAGGAAAGGAUUUCCCUCAUUUUUUGUGGCAGUGCCUCAGGUGACAAUGGUAAACCACUGCUGCUUUACAAAGGCUCUAAUCCCCAACUUGUCUUUUAGAAACAGAUAAACACCUUUCUGUUUUCUUGUGAUCACACCCAGAAUCACCACUGCCACUUUUUGGAUUGGUUUCGUUAUUGUUCAAGUCCGAAGUCAUUUAACAGAAAUCAAAUCUGGAAAUCAGAAUGUUGCUAGUUGUGGACAGAGGUCCCACUCACCCAGCCUCAUUAUUCUUUGUUCUUUCUAAUGUCGAUAUUGUGUUUGUCCCUCAGGGAACCCCUAGCUUUCUUCAACCCUUGGGUCAGGGUAUAUCUGAAGCAUUUGGGAGGUAUUACACCAAGCAUAUGUUUGACUGCUUUGCUGCCUGUAUUUAAAAAAACCCUCACCUUACUCUGAAAGAAACAUGACAACAGGACAAUAUUGCUGAUGCUUUAGUAGUGAUAAAAGAGGUGAUGGGUGAUAGAAAACCAGCCACUCGUAAGCUUGCUGGAAAGUUCAGGAGGAUGUGUGAAUGAUUAUGCAUGUUUCCCUAGAGCUAAUGAAGUUAAAAAAAAUCUUAGUGUCUGCAAAACAGAUGAGUUUAAGAUUCAGUGAUAUCAGGGAAAGUAAAAUUAAUGAGCUACUCAAGUUUCAUUGUUUGGUAAUAACUGAGAGUCUAUGUCCAUAGGAAAAAAUGUUUGCAGACAGAGGAAAUUUAAUGCUGUCUGAUGCCAGACCGCACACCUCACUGAUGCUAUAAUUGAUAUGGAUCCUUUCCUCAAUCGAAGCUUGACUUUUAAAAGAGAUUUCAAUAAAUUGCUUAUACUUAUAAAGAGAUGUAAAAGAACCUUCAAAAUAAAGCAAAAGACUUGAAGAAAGAGAAGGAAGUCAUGAUGAAAAGGAUGUCAUUUGGGUGAAGGUGAUGGAUACAGAAUCUGAGUCUGAGGGGAAAUCUGACUCUGAAUCGGGAUCCAAUAAGGAGCAGAAGAAGAUGGAGGAUAAGAAGCUGCCAGAAGAAACGCCUGGACCCUCCAGCAUGGCACUCAGAGUCAUGAUAUGUCUGAAGAAACUGUCCAAGCCAUUAAUGUGAAAUUGAACCUUUGCAAUGUAACCUUGGACGUGAAUCUGGAGAGAGUAUAAGUCCCUGAAUUGAAGGACAAAGAGGUUCCAGAGGCCAUCCUUCCCUUGUUACCCCUACGUCAUUUCCAUCACUACCAUCGUCCUUUUUUCAUCACCAGCAACACAUCUGUAUCAUUUAGUCAUUUAACAAACAUUGAGCUUAAACUCUGCAGGGCUCUGAGCUAAACUUGGGGACAAUGGCUCAGGAAAUCAUCUCAGAAUCUGAGAUCCUGGCAACUUCUUUUCUGACACACCCCAUGCUCAUGUUCAAGGCCCUUAUUGUGCAGCGCCACUCACCUGUGACCUGCAGCUAUGUCUUUGGCACUCACUGCAUCAUCUUUGUCAACUGUUCCUAUGAGAAAAUUGCCAGAGACAUUGUCAGGUAUGGUGAAAUGGCUUAGGUGUGGCGCCAGGAGGCUCAAAAAGCUACGGGAUGCUCCAGAGGGGCCACUAUUGUGCCCCUCUUGCUUCUGACAACGCUGUCCAUCCAAUGAUGAACUGUGAUUUAUUAAGCAUGUUAUGGGAACUUUAAAAUACCUCAUUCAGCAGAAAGGAGGCAGAGGAUUAUAAUCCCCAUUUGACAGAUGGGACACUGAGGCCCAAGUCCUCAUGUUUCUUCAGUCUGGAAAGUGAAGAGAACUUGCACUGUGUGACAAGGGCCAGGCAAAAGAAACAGGAGAGAAGGAGAGAUUCCUGUAGACCUGACCUGGGUGGUCAGGAAAGAUCCCUUGGAAAAGGCUAUACAUCCCUUUGAAAUCUCAGAGGUCUUUAGUCUCCCUGUGGAUCAAGGACAUGUGUACUAUUUAAAGUGGCUUGAGGAAGGCAUGGAAGAGGACUGAGUGAGUGAAGCUUUUUGUGCAUGCCGCUGGCUGCCUCCAGCCUUCAUCAGCUGCACUCUGGGGAAGAGGGGGCCUCCUUCUACUUCCCAGCAUCUCUGGAUUCCAUGUUCCUGUCAGCGCAGAGGAGCUAAAUUGCCUGUGGAGGCUGAAGGUCUCAGGUUCCUGAAGCUGGAAGAAAAGGCUGGGCCAGUCAGGCCAAGCAAGAACCCAGUAUAACUUGUCUCUGAGUGCUUCAUGGUUAACGGGGAUCGGGGAUACGAGGGCUCGAGGAUGGUUGUGUGGAGACUGAGGGCAAGAGGCAGUGAGGGUGAGACUUGUCAUAUUCUUGAGUCACUAGGCCUACCUGAAGUGCCUAGGAUGUAAUUGCUCUGCUGCUUCUCAUGGGGAGGAGUGGCCUCAGUGACCUUGUUCACCUGGAAGAGUGUGGGAUGAAUGCCUCCUCCUAGGGGGACUGGCAAGUGCUUUAUCAAAAAGAUAAAUUACUAAUGGUGCCAUUUCAUGGAUCAGCAGGAUUAUUUCUCCUUGCUAAAGAGGCUUUUGUUGCUUCUGAAUUCUGACGAUGUGGGACUAGGAAUGGGCUCCACGAGCUUGUGUAUAAAUUCAGGGAAUAUUAGGACUUUGGCACAGCCUCAUGGGUUGGGAGUAAGUCUUGCUUCUUCCCUAGCCUGAAUCACAGACAUCAGGUCAUUCUGGUGCCUUGUCAGUGAAGAUGUAGAUUCUGAGCCCACCAAACUAACCUUUUCCCUUGCACACAGAAGCAGCCCCAGGAAUCAGACCCGUGUCUUUCAGGUUUGCUUCACAGAGCCCCCGAAGUUGACAAAAGGUACCUUGGAGGCUCCCUGCAUGGGGAUUUUUUAAAAAGCUUUGUUAAAGAUUUGUAAACCACCCCUCUGAGCCAGUUUUCCUUUUAUAGAUUACUGCAGGAAACUGAACUGCAUGGAGGCCCAGAAAGAGGGUGGUGCAACCUGGGCUGCUCAUCCUCUGUUUCAUGCUCUCUUGUACCUGCUCCAUGGGUUUGUGGUGGAAGAGGGCAGGGAAGGCAGUGGCCUGCUGAGCCCCAUGGACUAAGAAGAAGGGAAAUUUGCCCCAGAAACCCCUCUGAAUCUGUCAUGAGGUAACUCCAUUCUGUGGAGACUAUGGGCAGUUUGGGUGGGGGUCUACAGAUAGCUGUUAUAUCUUGGGCCUCUCCUUGAGGGGAGGGUGUGCAGGAGGGCUAAUGCCAGGCUGUAGUUCUGACAAUUACUGUACUUCUUGGAUCUUUGUGCUCCCAAAUAUCAAAUGGAAGAGGAUCUCUAAGAGUCCUUUGCAAAGAUCUUGUAGGGACUUUAGGCUGAGGCCCUUGGAAAGUUCCAGAGGGUUCUAAUGGAGAUUUCGAGGGACUGCCUCAGAAGAACAAAGAGAAUGAUAAUGGUGAUGUCCCUUGCUUUUUACAACAGAUCAUGUUCUGAUAUAUAUGCAAAUUUGUGUAAAGUAGAACCUAAAUGUACUGGGGACCCAAGACAUACUGCCUCUAUUGCUUCCAGGAGAAAGUCCAAUUUCUAGGUCUGGUUUUUAUAACCUUGCUUCAGCUCACCUUUUCAGUCAUCAUCCCCUGCAUCUCCUCUCCCACUUUGGGAAAUGGAUGGCUCCACUAUACUGUGUGAUGUUAUUCCUGUUUCUGCUGUCCCCUCUGCCCGGAAUGCCCUUCUGCAUGAAUGCUUGUGAAAUAUUGCUGCUCCUUUGUAUGGCCUGGCUUCCGUGAUUGGGAGGAAUCUCUUCUGUCGUUGUAUUCCUGUCAUCUUUGUGCAUCACAGUCGGCUUUAUAUUCCUAGGUUGUAAGCUGCUUGAGGAUAGGGGCAUGUCUGAAUCUAUUUAAUCUCUUGUACCUGUUUGGCAAAUUGAUGUCUUAAGUAUUUAAUUAACUAAAGCUCUCUCUACAGUUCAUAGUCACUUUUGAUUUAUGGAAUUAGCAAAUUCAACUUUUUCCCUUGAAUAUUCUUAAAGUGAGACUAAUUCCAAAGGAGAUUUUUCUGUCUGUGGCCUUCAUUGGGUGGUUUUCUGUUAUCAGAAAACUCCUGGUGGCCUUCCUCUUCCCUGGUGUCAAGUUGACUAUUGUAGGAAACGGGAGGGGAAAGGGCCAUUUCUGCCAGGCAUUGUCCUCAGUUCCUUAACAUUAAUCCUUAUAAUGCAUUGUUAUCCUCAUUUUACAGGUGAAACCUGAGAUCAGAGAGCAUGAAACACGUAAAGUAUGUGGCAGAGCUAGGAUGUGAACCCAACUCUGAUUCUAAACCUAAUGCUCUUACUUUUUCUGAGGUUCAUUAAGUUCUUUGUAGGCCAUAGAUCCAGAGAAGCUGCCGCAGCCAACAGUAGAAUUAUUAGUUCUUAAAACAUUUGUGCAGUAGUUUGGUCUGGCACUUAAAAAUGUAUUGUUUACUACUCACCACAGAUCUUCAGGAGUUCACUGAUCUCUACAGUCUGCCUUAACUCCAACUUACGUGGUUUGGCCACUAUUACGUAUUGUCAUCCCAGAAUGAUGCUGCAGAGGCUGGGGCUAGGACCCAGACCAGUGUUUCCAUGUGGGAAUUCCCUCCCAGUAUUUCUUAGGAAAUGUAUGUUUUUUGAAUUCUUAAUCCCUAGAAAAAUCAGUUGAGGAAAUGAGAAGUAUUAUAAUUAUUCUGUGAAAACUAACACCAUUAUAGAGACAUUACUGGUUUGAAAGAAUCCAGCUUCAUCAAAUAUAACAUACUGAGUUGAAGGCUACAAUAACAGAGACAGGAGCAUAGCUGAGAGAAAUGAUCGCCAUCUAAUUAGCCUUACUUUUGGUUGCUGUGAUGUCACUAAGUGUGUAUGUCUGGCCCUAUUGGCUGCGAAUGGUGAGUUCUUGUGAAUGAGCAAAUAAAAUGAUUUGAUAAACAACCUAGCAUACUUGAUACAAAUCUUAUGAAUGGUGUUCCAAGAAAUAAACUUUGGAAGCAAAAUAA